UCUGCUAGCCAUGGGAAGCUAGCCAAAGAGUUUCUGCAAUGUUUGCACUAAAUGUUCUGUCAGGUCCAUCACGUGGUCCUAAACAAUAGGAAUGGAUUUCAGCAACACAGAAACAACUGCAGGUGCUAUAUCUACCCUUCUCGAGUCUGGGAGAAAAGUGAUUGUUAUUUGGCCCAGCAGAGGAACGAAAUAUAAUGGGUGCAAAGGAAUCUGAGAGGGGGCGCAAGGCUGAUAAGGUUUCCGCAUGAGCUGGAACCUGCACGUUCUCUCUCCGCCAGCGAUCGAACCAUUAACAGAAGAAUCAGACGGGGAACAAUGAGGCUUCAAUCAGCAGCUGAAGUUUUUACUGCAUCAGGGGGGACAGGAGACUAUUACAGUUUUAUUAUAUAUAUAUAUAUAUAUAUUUAUUAUACAUUGUUUCACUUUAGGAACUCCAUUGUUGUUAAUUCCUACUGUCUCUAUUCUAUAUUCUCUAUGGUUGUGUGCCAUCUCCUGCCUAAUAAUAGUAUCUCUCUCUUGGAAAGGGCACAAGGCUGCACGCUGAGUUAUACAGGGAACUC